CGAAUGAUUCGCAAAGCUGAUUUAAUAAUAAAUAAUCGCAUUAAGUUGAGGAUGCAUUUGCUGACUCGUACGCGCUGACCUCGUAAAACGAACAGCUGAUCUCAGAUCGAUGACCGCAACAUUCGAGGGAUACUGUCGGAGGAACCUUUGUGCCGGAAGACAGUUGGAGACAAUGUUGAGUCUUCUGACUACAGGGCGUCUCAGGUUGCCGAUUGAGACAAUAUACAGUGGUCCACAAAAGUGUUCGUCGCUCCGCAUGAACAUCAUCUGUAACAUACAAGUAAAAAUUAAUAACCUGUCGAGACAUUUAAUAAUACAUAAAUUCGCAUAAUUUCGUAUACUUACCGGGUCGAAGUUGUGUUAUCGUAUGACACGCAACUCCCCGUCGAUCUUAUAAAUUAUUCUAUGCCAGUGGAUUAACAGCACUAUGGAGUUUAUACAGGUGAAGGGAAUCUAAAAAUAAUAACAUUAUAACUGUAAUAAUCAGCGAAGACGCACACAGAGUGUGCGACCCGACAUUGUGUUGGGAUUCUAGAGCUAUUCUAAUGAUACGCGAACUAAUUACUAUUGGGUUUUUAUAUUCUAUUUCUAUGGCUUCUCAAAUUGGCAUACUUCUAUUAUAGUGGCUGUCCACUAUUUCAGGCAACAUACAAUGCUGCUGUCUGCUGCCAAAAUUUGUCGUCACUGUAUACUUUAACUGAUUUCACACCCUUUGGUGCCCACACACACAAGAGACAAUAUUGUUUAUCUAAUAUAUGUAGUUGUCCUAGUACUUGAUAGAAAGAGUGAUGCGUUUUGCGCAAUGCAGUACCUGCAUCAUCCUCAAAUAUUCUUCGUAUUAGUGGAAUCUUUUUUUAUCGCUUCUUCUGGGGAUAAAUUUCCUGCCGUCUCUUCGGGCAUUUAAUUCCCUCGAAAUGUUAUUUCGGCAUCGAUGAAGAGACCGGAUUUGCGGAUUUCAACACCUUUCAGCUUUGAAAGUUGUUCUCGAUCAAUAUCCUCACACUACCGACGAUAUUCAAUGACAGUCAAAUCCAAUACUUUUGGAUACAGCAGUGACUUUACCAAAUUUCCACAGUUCGUCUUUUUCAUUCGCCGACAGACUUUGCCAAAGUUCAACGCUGUAAGUAGUUUCGAUCGGUGUGUAUGCCACUUUAGGCUCUUAAUUUCUUCUACGUAUUCUUUUCAAUUUUGUUUCUAUUAAUCUGCCAAUCGUGCAGCAUC